GGACCCUCGGACAUUGUCGUGCACUGUUGUCUCCGGGCUCUGACGGCCCAAAAAGUAGCAUCACGCGCUCCCRAAGCGACCCCAGGUCAGGCGGGACUACCCGCUGAGUUUAAGCAUAUCAAUAAGCGGAGGAAAAGR
rnacentral:rRNA from 1 species